rnacentral:rRNA from 1 species
GACGAACGUUGGCGGCGUGCUUAAUACAUGCAAGUCAACUGAAGCACCGGUAGUAAUACUGGUGUGGAGGUGGCGCACGGUGAGUAACACGUAGGUAAUCUGCCUUCAGGUCUGACGUAACCCCGAGAAAUCGGGGCUAAUAGCAGAUGAUGCAGCGGCUUGACAUCAAGACAGUUGUUAAAGCUUCGGGCGCCUGAAGAUGAGCCUGCGUCUGAUUAGCUAGUUGGCGGAGUAAUGGCCCACCAAGGCUACGAUCAGUAACUGGUCUGAGAGGAUGAUCAGUCACACUGGAACUGAGACACGGUCCAGACUCCUACGGGAGGCAGCAGUAAGGAAUAUUGCUCAAUGGGAGAAAUCCUGAAGCAGCAAACGCCGCGUGAGGGAUGAAGGGCUUUUGCUCGUAAACCUCUGUAGUGAGGGAAAAAAUUUCCAACUCUGUGGAAUAUG